rnacentral:rRNA from 1 species
UAUAGAUGGAUCCGCGCUGCAUUAGCUAGUUGGUAAGGUAACGGCUUACCAAGGCAACGAUGCAUAGCCGACCUGAGAGGGUGAUCGGCCACACUGGAACUGAGACACGGUCCAGACUCCUACGGGAGGCAGCAGUAGGGAAUCUUCCGCAAUGGGCGAAAGCCUGACGGAGCAACGCCGCGUGAGUGAUGAAGGUCUUCGGAUCGUAAAACUCU